rnacentral:rRNA from 1 species
UAGGGAAUCUUCGGCAAUGGACGAAAGUCUGACCGAGCAACGCCGCGUGAGUGAAGAAGGUUUUCGGAUCGUAAAACUCUGUUGUUAGAGAAGAACAAGGACGUUAGUAACUGAACGUCCCCUGACGGUAUCUAACAAGAAAGCCACGGCUAACUACGUGCCAGCAGCCGCGGUAAUACGUAGGUGGCAAGCGUUGUCCGGAUUUAUUGGGCGUAAAGCGAGCGGAGGCGGUUUCUUAAGUCUGAUGUGAAAGCCCCCGGCUCAACCGGGGAGGGUCAUUGGAAAGUGGGAGACUUGAGUGCAGAAGAGGAGGGUGGAAUUCCAUGUGUAGCGGUGAAAUGCGUAGAUAUAUGGAGGAACACCAGUGGAGAAGGCGGCUCUCUGGUCUGUAACUGACGCUGAGGCUCGAAAGCGUGGGGAGCAAACAGG